GUUGUUUUAUUACCAUUUUCUCUUUUUUCUGAUGAACCCCUUGUUUUUAAGAGGACCGUUGUAUUUGAUAAUUUCACAGACUGCCCCAAAAGAGACAAAAAUCCCUCAAUCUCUAAGUGGGGGUGCUGAAGGCUGGUACUAGUCUGAAAGGGCAUGGAUGGAGGUGUCCUCUCCCAUCACAGAGCACCACAGAUGGCUGCAGCAAACCAACCCAGGGAGAAGCCGAAAGGCCAAGGAGGACACGGCUUCAGUAUGGAUGAAAGUAGACAAGAAUGACAGCCAACAGCCGAUGUGUAACUCCACUGAUGUAUGUAUGCAGUGAAGCAGUAACUCAAGGAACCAACAUAUCAUUUUCUUAAUGGGAUAGAUCUUCUAAGGAAGGCAGCAUGGAA